AUUGAACGCUGGCGGCAGGCCUAACACAUGCAAGUCGAACGAGUGGCGGACGGGUGAGUAAUGACUGGGACACUGCCCGAUGGAGGGGGAUCACUACUGGAAACGGUAGCUAAUACCGCAUACCAGCGGCUGUGCCCAGAUGGGAUUUGCUAGUGGGUGGGGUAACGGCGCACCUAGGCGACGAUCCCUAGCUGGUCGGAGAGGAUGACCAGCCACACUGGAACUGAGACACGGUCCAGACUCCUACGGGAGGCAGCAGUGGGGAAUAUUGGACAAUGGGCGAAAGCCUGAUGCAGCCAUGCCGCGUGUAUGAAGAAGGCCUUCGGGUUGUAAAGUACUUUCAGCUAGGAGGCGUUACCCGCAGAAGAAGCACCGGCUAACUCCGUGCCAGCAGCCGCGGUAAUAC
rnacentral:rRNA from 1 species